GUAAUGUAAUAAGAAUAAGAAUUGUCUGCCUUAACAUCGUAACAAGCAGGCGGUCCCUGCGUGCCUGUCCGGUAACAGACAUCAGCUUUCACACGCACCUUACUUUGUGAGACAGACAGGCACCUGACGUCUAUGAACAGCACUGCGUCUCAUAAAUGAUAGAAUAAAACCACCGGCUACUUGUUGAACCUCUGGACCAGAACACACACCAACGGAGACACCACUUCCAAAAUAAGUCAUUUAGACUUUAAACUAAGUACGUUUAACGUCCUUUAAGCCUUUAGCCACAGGUUGGAGCGGCUUCCCAUUCACACUGCCGCACCCAAGAUGAAAACAAAAGCGCGCCUGCUCAUUUUAUUUCUGAGUGUUUCUGGCGCCUGUGUUUUUUGGAGAGAAGUGUCACGAUACGUUCUGCCUCAGGAACAAAGAUCCUGUGCUUGUGACCGAUGUCUAUUUGAAAAUGAUACGUUGGCCAUUGAGCGUUUGCGGAAGUUUCCUCAACCAUUUUUAUCCAGCAACUACAGUCUGCCAGAAGAGGAUUUCAAAUGGUGGAGGGUCAUACAGCGUGGAGGCGGUACAAUCAGUGAAUACAGAAGAAACAUGUCCAGGGUUUUUCAGUUGAUCCCAGACAACC